CUUUUAUUCGUUCCUACUGAUUGUUUCGUCCAAGAAAGGUGAAAAUUCGUGCGCUAAGCGUGAUAUCAAAGGGAAAGCGAUACUUGAAAUCUAAACGGUCGAGGUUGAGCGGCGACGAGCGGUUGGUGGUGUUGAGCAGG